CCUACGGGUGGCUGCAGUGGGGAAUAUUGCGCAAUGGGGGCAACCCUGACCCAGCAACGCCGCGUGAAGGAUGAAGGCUUUCGGAUUGUAAACUUCUUUUAAGAGGGAAGAGGAGGACACGGUACCACUUGAAAACGCCACGUCUAACUACGUGCCAGCAGCCGCGGUAAUGGGGAGGUGGCAAGCUUUUUCCGGAUUCACUGGGUGUAAAGGGCGUGCAGCCGGGAAAACAAGUCAGAUGUGAAAUCCUGCGGCUCAACCGCAGAACUGCAUUUGAAACUGUUUUUCUAGAGUAGCGGAGAGGUAAUCGGAAUUCCUGGUGUAGCGGUGAAAUGCGUAGAUAUAAGGAAGAACACCAGUGGCGAAGGCGAAUGACUAGACGGCAACUGACGCUGAGGCGCGAAAGCGUGGGGAGCAAACAGGAUUAGAUACCCCUGUAGUC
rnacentral:rRNA from 1 species